rnacentral:rRNA from 1 species
ACCUGACUGCUAUCGGAUUGAUACUAAGCCAUGCGAGUCAUUGUAGCAAUACAAGGCAUACGGCUCAGUAACGCGUAGUCAACCUAACCUAUGGACGGGAAUAACCUCGGGAAACUGAGAAUAAUGCCCGAUAGAACACUAUACCUGGAAUGGUUUGUGUUCCAAAUGAUUUAUCGCCAUAGGAUGGGACUGCGGCCUAUCAGUUUGUUGGUGAGGUAAUGGCCCACCAAGACUAUUACAGGUACGGGCUCUGAGAGGAGUAGCCCGGAGAUGGGUACUGAGACACGGACCCAGGCCCUAUGGGGCGCAGCAGGCGAGAAAACUUUGCAAUGUGCGAAAGCACGACAAGGUUAAUCCGAGUGAUUUGUGCUAAACGAAUCUUUUGUUAGUCCUAGAAACACUAGCGAAUAAGGGGUGGGCAAGUUCUGGUGUCAGCCGCCGCGGUAAAACCAGCACCUCAAGUGGUCAGGAUGAUUAUUGGGCCUAAAGCAUCCGUAGCCGGCUCUGUAAGUUUUCGGUUAAAUCUGUACGCUUAACGUACAGGCUGCCGGGAAUACUGCAGAGCUAGGGAGUGGGAGAGGUAGACGGUACUCGGUAGGAAGUGGUAAAAUGCUUUGAUCUAUCGAUGACCACCUGUGGCGAAGGCGGUCUACCAGAACACGUCCGACGGUGAGGGAUGAAAGCUGGGGGAGCAAACCGGAUUAGAUACCCGGGUAGUCCCAGCUGUAAACUAUGCAAACUCAGUGAUGCAUUGGCUUGUGGCCAAUGCAGUGCUGCAGGGAAGCCGUUAAGUUUGCCGCCUGGGAAGUACGUACGCAAGUAUGAAACUUAAAGGAAUUGGCGGGGGAGCACCACAAGGGGUGAAGCCUGCGGUUC